rnacentral:rRNA from 1 species
UACGUAGGGGGCAAGCGUUAUCCGGAUUUACUGGGUGUAAAGGGAGCGUAGACGGCCAUUCAAGCCAGAUGUGAAAGCCCGGGGCUCAACCCCGGGACUGCGUUUGGAACUGUAUGGCUGGAGUGUCGGAGAGGCAGGCGGAAUUCCUAGUGUAGCGGUGAAAUGCGUAGAUAUUAGGAGGAACACCAGUGGCGAAGGCGGCCUGCUGGACGAUGACUGACGUUGAGGCUCGAAAGCGUGGGGAGCAAACAGG